AUAUUUUACAAUUGGGGCAACCAUGAUCCAGCAAUGACGCGUGUGUGGAGAUGGCCUUCGGAUUGUAAAUCAAUUUAAGUGGUGAGGAAGGGCUUUAGGUUAAUACCCUGAAGUUUUGACGUUACCAACAGAAUCAGUACCGUCUAACCAUGCCCCAGCAGCCGCGGUAAAACAGAGGGUGCAAGCUUUAAUCGGAAUUACUGGGCGUAAAGCGCGCGUAGGUGGUUCAGUAAGAUGGGUAUCAAAUCCCCGGGCUUAACCUGGGAACUGCAUUCAUAACUGCUGAGCUAUGGUACGGUAGAGGGUAGUGGAAUUUCCUGUGUAGCGGUGAAAUGCGUAGUUAUAGGAAGGAACACCAGUGGCGAAGGCGACUACCUGGACUGAUACUGACACUGAGGUGCGAAAGCGUGGGGAGCAAAC
rnacentral:rRNA from 1 species